rnacentral:misc_RNA from 1 species
GGAAGUAAAAGUCGUAACAAGAUCUCCGUAGGUGAACCUGCGGAGGGAUCAUUACAGAGUUCAUGCCCUACCGGGUAGAUCUCCCACCCUAUGUUAUUAUUACUUUGUUGCUUUGGCGGGCCGUUAGGCUCCGGCCCGACUACCGGCCCCGGCUGGUAAGCGCCCGCCAGAGGACCCAAAACCCUGAAUAUUAGUGUCGUCUGAGUACUAUAUAAUAGUUAAAACUUUCAACAACGGAUCCCUUGGUUCUG